rnacentral:lncRNA from 1 species
GCCCGGGGCGCGGCCGUGGCGGGCUCCCCGGGGCGGCAGCUCUAGGCGCGGGCGCGCAGCAGCCCCCGAGGCGCCGCCUGGCCCAGCUGCCCGGCUCCCGAGCGCCGCUGCGAGUGGGGGGCGCCCCGCGGCGCCGCGCACAUCUUACUGGGGGGCCGCCCCGCCGGCGCCCGCCCCGCCCGGCUGCCGCCCACGGGCCGCCCGCGAGCGCGCGAGGCUCCCGGGCUCCGCUCGGACUGCGCUCGGGCUCGGCUCCCGCGCGGGCUGCCACCUGCCCCGGCUGCCGGGCGCUGGCGGGCGGGCUGCACGCGUCUCUCCGGCCGCUCCUCCUCCAGCCGCCGCCAAGGCUACCGCCCGGGCUCGCACAAAGCCCCGGAGUGGAGUUGCACGCGCGCACACACUCCCUCCCAGCCCCCUCCCCGCGCCCUGCCUCCCGCCGCCCGCGCUCCCUCCGCGCACUCCCCCGCGCACACACGCACUUCACACUCACGCCCCGAGGCGCACACUCGCGCGCUCACACCUGCGCAGGGGGCGGGGGGUGGCGGGGACGGGGACCCCGGGCCCGGCUCUCAGGGGGACGCCCGGAGAGCGAGGACGCCCCCCUGCUUCCCAGCUGUCCCCAUCCGCCCCGCCGCCCCCCAGCCAGUCCCUACAACUGCGAGGGCACGGAGCCGCGGAGCCGGGCGUGCAGCGACAGAGCUGGCACCGCGAGCGGGCGACGGCGGCAGCCUGGCGGCCCGACCAGCUGGAGGAGACGCGCCCGCCGAGCGGAGGGACGCGCAGCCCGCCGUCUGCGGAGCCUCGCCUUCCCGCUCCCACGCAGCGGGCGCAGGCUGGACGGCGGCGGGAGCGCACCCGGGGGCCGCGGCCGCACCGAACCCGCCCUCCGAGCUGGGGCUGGGCUCCGGGGAGACCGAAUUCAAACAGAAGUGUCCGCCGCGCUGGGCUGGGGAUGCUGCAGGGUCUGCUAGGGGCGGGCCUGGCCCGCGGACCCUCUGCGGUGGAAGGUGGCACUUGCCAGCGCCCUGCAGCCCCCGCGGUUUCCGAGGCCAAAUCCUGAAGUCCGGAGGGCAUCUGAGAUGCACCUGGUACUUCCCAUCCUCGUGUUCCCCAACCGUGCAGGAGGCGCUAGCCCCCUUCCCCUUGCCUCCUGAGAAGGAUGCAGAGACACCCGGCAAUGGUCAUGUCAUUGCCGUGGGAGGCAGCAAGACCCACGGGGUGGGGGGGGGGGGAGAGGAGGGGAGCAAGCUAGAAAGGGUUAAAAAAUGGGGGGAAAAACCUUGUUUAUUAGCAAUAAUAAAUUUUUUUUUUCAAGUGGCGCUGGGUGUCGAGGGAAAGAAAGGGCUGUGGAGCGAGUCUGGAGCAGGAGGCUGGGAAUUACGCAGUUAGGCGAGUUUAAUGACCUUUUUGACAGAGACAAAGUGCCCGCCCGAUACAGUAGAUAAAUAAACGGAUCUGUCACCGGGCAGCGGCUAGGCUGUGUGUGGAUUUAUUUUUCUCAUUUAAAUAAUUUGAUCUAUUCCAUCAUUCCCAAUCUCUCCCAUUUGCCAGCUGUCUGGUAAGAGCAUGGCCCCCAACAUCUGAAAAGCAAAUCUUUAAUUUUCUUACAAAUAGACUAUCAGUCCAGCCCUACCCCGGCUGUUAAUUUGCCCCGUCUUUUCUUUCCCUUCCCUUCUGUUCUGGAACUAGGGGACGUGGGCAUUGUGUGGAGAUGUGAAUAUUGCAGCGUGGCCAAUCCUGCCAAUUGGAAGGGGACUCCCUCCCACCUUGCGGGGGAGGCAGCUGUGGCGGUGGGAGGAGGAUUUCCCCGGCUCUUCUGAGAAAGGGAAGAGGUGUGCAGUCUUGAGGCCGUCCUCCAGCACUGGACAGCCAAGAGAGGCUACUGGGCACCGUCUUUGCCAGACUUGGGCCUUCCUCACCCCGGAGCAGGAGCGGCUGGUUUCCCAAGCAGCCACUGGAAAAUGUUGCCCAAGAGACCAGGGGGAAGGACAUGCAGACCAGAGCCAGAGAGGCAGCAGCUGCCA